rnacentral:rRNA from 1 species
AUUGAACGCUGGCGGCAUGCCUUACACAUGCAAGUCGAACGGCAGCACGGGAGCAAUCCUGGUGGCGAGUGGCGAACGGGUGAGUAAUAUAUCGGAACGUGCCCAGUAGUGGGGAUAACGCAUCGAAAGGUGUGCUAAUACCGCAUACGAACUGAGGUUGAAAGUGGGGGACCGUCGGGCCUCACGCUAUUCGAGCGGCCGACGUCUGAUUAGCUAGUAGGUGAGGUAAAGGCUCACCUAGGCGACGAUCAGUAGCGGGUCUGAGAGGAUGAUCCGCCACACUGGGACUGAGACACGGCCCAGACUCCUACGGGAGGCAGCAGUGGGGAAUUUUGGACAAUGGGCGCAAGCCUGAUCCAGCCAUGCCGCGUGUCUGAAGAAGGCCUUCGGGUUGUAAACUGCUUUUGUCAGGGAAGAAAUCCUCUAGGUUAAUACCCUUGGGGGGAUGACGGUACCUGAAGAAUAAGCACCGGCUAACUACGUGCCAGCAGCCGCCGUAACAC